rnacentral:rRNA from 1 species
AGAGUUUGAUCAUGGCUCAGGACGAACGCUGGCGGCGUGCUUAACACAUGCAAGUCGAGCGGAAAGGCCCUUUCGGGGGUACUCGAGCGGCGAACGGGUGAGUAACACGUGAGCAACCUGCCCCUGGCUCUGGGAUAGCCUCCGGAAACGGGGAUUAAUACCGGACAUGACCCUUCCGGGCAUCUGGGGGGGUGGAAAGUUUUUCGGCCAGGGUGGGGCUCGCGGCCUAUCAGCUUGUUGGGGGGGUGACGGCCCACCAAGGCGACGACGGGUAGCCGGCCUGAGAGGGCGACCGGCCACACUGGGACUGAGACACGGCCCAGACUCCUACGGGAGGCAGCAGUGGGGAAUAUUGCGCAAUGGGGGAAACCCUGACGCAGCGACGCCGCGUGCGGGAUGAAGGCCUUCGGGUUGUAAACCGCUUUCACCAGGGACGAAGCGAGAGUGACGGUACCUGGGGAAGAAGCGCCGGCUAACUACGUGCCAGCAGCCGCGGUAAUACGUAGGGCGCGAGCGUUGUCCGGAAUUAUUGGGCGUAAAGAGCUCGUAGGCGGCCGGUUGCGUCUGCUGUGAAAUCCCGGGGCUUAACCCCGGGCGUGCAGUGGAUACGGGCCGGCUGGAGGCAGGCAGGGGAGAAUGGAAUUCCCGGUGUAGCGGUGAAAUGCGCAGAUAUCGGGAGGAACACCGGUGGCGAAAGGCGGUUCUCUGGGCCUGUACUGACGCUGAGGAGCGAAAGCGUGGGGAGCGAACAGGAUUAGAUACCCUGGUAGUCCACGCCGUAAACGUUGGGCGCUAGNUGUGGGUCCCUUCCACGGGGUCUGUGCCGCAGCUAACGCAUUAAGCGCCC